rnacentral:rRNA from 1 species
UGGGGAUAUUGCACAAUGGGGGAAACCCUGAUGCAGCGAUGCCGCGUGGAGGAAGAAGGUUUUCGGAUUGUAAACUCCUGUCUUAAAGGACGAUAAUGACGGUACUUUAGGAGGAAGCUCCGGCUAACUACGUGCCAGCAGCCGCGGUAAUACGUAGGGAGCGAGCGUUGUCCGGAAUUACUGGGUGUAAAGGGAGAGUAGGCGGGAUUGCAAGUCCGUUGUUAAAUCUAUCGGCUUAACCGGUAGCUGCGGCGGAAACUGUAGUUCUUGAGUGAAGUAGAGGCAGGCGGAAUUCCUAGUGUAGCGGUGAAAUGCGUAGAUAUUAGGAGGAACACCAGUGGCGAAGGCGGCCUGCUGGGCUUUAACUGACGCUGAGGCUCGAAAGUGUGGGGAGCAAACAGGAUUAGAUACCCUGGUAGU